rnacentral:tRNA from 1 species
GCAUUAAUGGGGUAGUGGUAACCUGGGUCGUUGCCAGAUUCAGAGCAAGUCUUCAAUUGUUUCGACCCGCCGGGGGUUCGAUUCCCUCUUAAUGCA